UUUUAUGUCAGCUCAGGUUACCCAGAAAUUUCUAUAAUUUGCCGUCCAGCCCAGUCACUAGAUUGAUUGAACCUGGUUAACAUUGCUCAAUAGCCAGCACAAGUGAACUUUAAACCAAAUUCUUAAUCAUUUGAGAAAAACCUGCUCCACAUUCUUGCUAAAGGGAUUUGUAUGUUAAGUUGCUUCACAAAACAUUUUGUGUGAAGACUGAGAUGUAUCAUAGCUGAAAACCAGUAGUGGCUGUGAGCUGGGAUGGCAAUUGCUCAGCUAUGCGGCCCAACUACAUGGCCCUUUCUACAGGAGUUUCAACACCGCUAUUUGAGAUGUCUUAGUGAAGUGCCUGAAGUUACAAGGAUGGAAGUAAAAACAUCAAUCUGCAUCAGCUCUCUCCUGCAGAGUUGUCAUCAGUCAUCUUGUCUGGACUAGCAGGUUCUAUUUCCACCAGAUUAACAAGGGUUUAAGUCUUUGUCUUCCCCCUCCAUCUUCAUUCAGGCUGGACUGCAUCUCAAAUCAUGUUUCACCUUCUGGCAGAAAACCUGGUGGCAUUUCAGUAGGCUCAGUGAAAGCUUUCUGCUAUGUGGAAACACACCAUGAACAUCUUUCCUCCAUCAACAGCUCCACUGGGACAACCUUCUUACUCUCCUUCAACUUGUCAUUCCUGGGUCUUCUCUUCCCUUGCACAUGUUUUGUAGAUAAUGAAUAUGCAAUUGGUUCCCCUAUUUUGACCCAAUCCAUAUGUGCAAGGAGGGAAGCUUUCUUCUCUGUCUCACUGCACAUGGCAUGGUACUACCACUUUCUGGUUU